rnacentral:lncRNA from 1 species
UUCUGAGUUCUCCAUUCUAUUUCAUUUUAUAUGUCUACCUUUAUGUCAGUACCACACUGUUUUGAUUAUUGUAAUUUUGUAAUUAAGUCAUUUAUUCUAACAGACUUUUUUAUUGUGUGUGGAAUCCUUAGCGUUUUCCAAACAUAAGAUUAUAUUACUUGCAAAAAGAAAUGUUUACUUUUUUCUUUACAGUUUGAAUACCUUUGAUUUCUUUUUCUUGCCUAAUUGCUCUGGCUAGAACUUCCAGUUCCAUGUUGAAUUGAAGUGAUGAAAAUGGGCAUCCUUCCCUUGUUCUUGAUAUUAGAGGGGAAGAUUUUAAUCUUUCACCAUUGAGUAUGAUGUUCACUGGGGUUUUUCACAUGUGGCUUUUAUUGUGUUGAGGUGAUUUCCUUCUACUACUAGUUUGUUGAGUGUUUAUCAUGAAAGGGUGUUGAGUUUUGUCAAAUGCUCUUUCACCAUCAAUUAAGAUGGUUAUGUUUUUUUCCCUUUAUUCUGUAAAUGUGGUAUAUUACAUUGAUUGAUUUUUAUAUGUUGAACCAUCUUGGCAUUCUAGGAAUAAAUCCCACUUGGUCAUGGUGUAUAAUCUUUUUACUAUGCUGAAUUCAGUUUGCUUGUAUUUUGUUGAGGAUUUUUGCAUCAAUGUUCAUAAGAAAUAUUGAUCUAUAAUUUUCUUUUCUGUAGUGUCUUUGUCUGGCUUCCGUAUCAGGAUAAUGCUGAUCUUGUAUAAAUAAGUUAGUAAAUGUUUCCUCUUCUUCAGUUAUUUAGAAAAGUUUGAGAAGGAUUGGUAUUUGUUCUUUAAAUGUUUGGUAGAACUCACCAGUGAAGCAAUCAGGCCCAGGACUUUUCACAGCUGCAUGUUUUAACCUUUAAAUUAAAGUGAAAAAAUCCUGCAAAGUUUCUUUAUAUGGUAUGGUAGUCACUUGACAUGGUCACUAGUAUUCCAAAUCUCCUCCCUCUGGGUCCAUGGGCACUUCUUUGCCCAUUGUGACCACGUGACUUGUUUUUCCAGAUGAAAUGUGAGUGGAGGGGAUAUGUGUCACCUUUAAGGGGAAGUCUUAAGACCCAAUGCAGAAUUCUACAAUCUCCAUUCUGCCUACCAUGGUGACCUGCAAAGUUCCAGAUUUCUGAUCUCUUUCAAUCUGCAUUCCUGAAUAAGGACAUGACACGGAGCAGUGACCCUGCUGACCUGUGAUGAACAUGUACCCACGAGUGAGAAAUAAACCCUUGUUGUUUUAAGCCAUUCUGUUUUGGGGAUGUUUGUUACUACAACAUAACCAAACUAAAAUACCUCACCUAUGGAUAAUGAGUGGUAACAUGUCAGGCAAAUUCCUCUUCUAUACCGGGUGCAGUCAUCUUUAGCUUGUCAGUUAUUGUCACAACUUGUUGGGAAGAUCAUCAGCUUAGCCACAUAGAGUUGCCUAAAUAUUUGAGCAGAAACCCCAGCCCUUCUGCAGGGUCUCACGUGAACAUCCUACCAGAUGUGGGGAUAUCAAGGUUGUAGAUGAAGUACCUGGCAAGCAUGUCAGAAUUCUGAGCUGCCACUGGAUGAGAAACUUCCAUGUCAGAGAAUCCUUUCUCCUUCCUACAUGGAGAGGUGG